CCAUUUUUUCUCAGCCGCAAGUGCUCCUGCUCUCCACCAUCGCUUCUACCUCUGCCCUAACAUUUUGCCGCUUCCACCAUCGUUUCCCCUAUCGCUCUUCGUUUCAGCCAUCCCUCUGCCCUUCGCCUCUCCUGCCACGCAUCCACCCAUCAUCUUGCCAAUCGCAAGACUAAUCUGAGUGCUCUCUCCUUACCCCUGCCUAAUUUUCUCGAAUUGGGUUCUUCAGUCUUGAAGCCCAGCAAUGGCUCAGAACCUACAGUUGGAAAGACCCUUGUUAAGGACGGAGGUCUAUUUUUUUAUAGAAACUUGGUACUGGAUUGGUGUAUGAGCAGCAUGUUCAAUCUUCUUUUUAUUGAAGUAUUGACAUUUUUAGAGCCUCUAGGAGAUAAUAAAGCUGUUAUUCUUGAGGAUGAUGAGCAAAACAAGGAUAGACGGCAAGUUGCAUCACAUCCUGGAGGUUUGUGGUCUAUUCAACUCCAGCCUUUUGCAUAUGCAACUCAAAGAUAAAUACUCUGUAUCCCUUGAUAAAAUAAGUUCAGACUUUAGACAAGGUUUGAAACGUGAUAUAUACAUUUUCCCAAGAUUCAAUAUAAAGUUUAGUACUCAAUUAGCGCUUAAAUUUAAUGGAUUCUAAAAGUACAAAAGGAGGAAGAAAUAAAGAAUCUAAAAUGCACCAAAGGAGGGAGGAAAUGGAGAAAGAAAGAAUCUACCGACAGAAAGAAAAUGGAGUAAAGAAAAUUGAGGUUAUUGACAUUCAACAAGGGAACUUAUUUCAUCCUAAAGCUGCAUUCUGGUGAUUUAAUUACUACUUCUGCUGAAGUCUUUAGUAGUGGAUGCAAUUUUAGUCAAGUUAAUGAACUUGUAUUUGUCACAGUUGAUGGAUUCAAAUAAGCUGUGGUGUGAUUGUUCUCAACAAGACCACAAUUUUGGUUUGUUCAAGAAGCGAUGGACCAUUUUGAGAGAUGUAUCGUUUUUUUGAUGUUAAGACUCAUGUCAUGAUAAUUAAUGUCAUGAUAAUUAGUGCUCAGCAAGUUGUGAGAAUAUAUGAUCUUCAGCAUUCUUUGCAAAAGGUCGAAGAAGCUCUCUUGCAGGGACUAGAGCAACUUCACUUGUGCAACCAUGUACAAUCUGUUUAUGCAUGUGGAUUUGUGUAUGUUUGGCAGCACACCUUUCCACUGAUAAUUUUCUCUUUAAAAAUCAACGAAUUGCACAAGAUGAGAUAUUUAUGGUUUGUUGGUAACAAGUGAUGCAGGUUUUUGUUCAAAACUGUUCUUGAAGUUUUGGGUCAAACGUGUCUGCAUGAAAAGGCAUGUUAAUGUGGUCUUGUUAAGAGAUACUUUAGACUUCAUAGUUUCUUGUUUUUAUUUUGUGAAUAGUUACUUUCUUGUUCAUCAUUGUCCAGAAACUUUACUUACAUACACAACGAACUUUAUCUUGUUGUCUUACAUACCCCAAUUAGUUUUGUAUCUAAUAUAAUUUAAUUAAGAAUAAAGGAAACAAGAGUAAUACUAUAUUUUUAUUUUGUAGAAAAGGAACUAAUUGGUUUUUUUCUUUAAAGCUUUAAUAACAAUUGGUUAAAUGCAAGAAAAAAUAAAUUAUUAAAGGCAUUAAUUGAUUUUUUCCUUGAAACUUUAGUAAGAAUUAGCUAAAUGUUUAAAAAAUUAUUCCAUAC